CGUCACUGAGGGACACAGACAGGCCGCGUCAUUGCCCAUUUCAUGAGACAGUCUCAGAGAGAAAGCGUGAACUACUAUGAGAUCAGCCCAGCAACAUGAGUCAGGAAAAUGAGAAAACAAAUCUACAAAAGGCUUCGACAGAAGGAAACAAAAACCUACUCCUGUACCAUGUAUCAUGUAUGUAUCAUCAUGUACCAUGCACACAAAUAGUGUAUGUUCAAAGGCACGGGAAAUUUAAUUUAAAAUACUGACAAAAAAUAUAUAUUACAGAAGUAAUAAAAACACC